CCUACGGGAGGCAGCAGUGGGGAAUUUUGGACAAUGGGAGAAAGCCUGAUCCAGCAAUGCCGCGUGUGGGAAGAAGGCCUUCGGGUUGUAAACCUCUUUUGUCCGGAACGAAAAGGUCUGCCCUAAUACGGUGGGCUCAUGACGGUACCGUAAGAAUAAGCACCGGCUAACUACGUGCCAGCAGCCGCGGUAAU
rnacentral:rRNA from 1 species